rnacentral:rRNA from 1 species
CCCUUAGAUGUUCUGGGCUGCACGCGCGCUACACUGAAGCGUUCAACGAGUAUUCACCUUGCCCGGGAGGGUUGGGUAAUCUUUUGAAAACGCUUCGUGAUGGGGAUAGAUUAUUGCAAUUAUUAAUCUUCAACGAGGAAUUCCUAGUAAGCGCGAGUCAUAAGCUUGCGCUGACUACGUCCCUGCCCUUUGUACACACCGCCCGUCGCUACUACCGAUUGAAUGAUUUAGUGAGGACUUCGGACUGGGACCGAUGCGGCUUUCGGGCUGCGUCGGUAUUCUGGAAAGAUGUCCAAACUGUAUCAUUUAGAGGAAGUAAAAGUCGUANCA